UUGUUAGCAGCCGCGGUAAUACGUAGGGUGCGAGCGUUAAUCGGAAUUACUGGGCGUAAAGCGUGCGCAGGCGGUUUUGUAAGCCAGAUGUGAAAUCCCCGGGCUUAACCUGGGAAUGGCAUUUGGGACUGCAAGGCUCGAGUGCGGCAGAGGAGACUGGAAUUCCUGGUGUAGCAGUGAAAUGCGUAGAUAUCAGGAGGAACACCGAUGGCGAAGGCAGGUCUCUGGGCUGACACUGACGCUCAUGCACGAAAGCGUGGGGAGCAAACAGGAUUAGAAACCCUUGUAGUCC
rnacentral:rRNA from 1 species